GCUAGUGUUAGGUUUAGGGUUAGGAGUGAGGGUUAGGUUUAGGGUUAAGAGCUAGGGUUAAGGUUAGGGUUAAGAGCUAGGGUUAGGAGCUAGGGUUAGGAGUGAGGGUUAGGAGUGAGGGUUAGGAGCGAGGGUUGAGAGCAGGUGUUAGGUUUAGGGUUAGGUUUAGGGUUAGGAGCUAGGGUUAGGAGUGAGGGUUAGGAACCAGGGUUAGGUUCAGGGUUAGGAGCCAGGGUUAGGUUUAGGGUUAAGAGCUUGGGUUAGGUUUAGGAUUAGGUGCUAGGGUUAGGUUUAAGGUUAGGUUUAGGGUUAGUAGUGAGAGUUAGGAACCAGGGUUAGGUUUAGGGUUAGGUUUAGGGUUAGGUGCUAGGGUUAGGUGCUAGGGUUAGGUUUAGGGUUAAGAGCUAGGUUAGGUUUAGGGUUAGGUGCUAGGGUUAGGUUUAGGGUUAGGAGCUAGGGUUAGGUUUAGGGUUAGGUGCUAGGGUUAAGAGCUAGGGUUCGUUUUAGGGUUAGGAGCUAGGGUUCGGUUUAGGGUUAGGAGCUCGGAUUAGUUUUAGGGUUAGGUGCUAGGGUCAGAUUUAGGGUUAGGAGCUAGGGUUAGGUUUAGGUGCUAGGGUUAGGUUUAGGGUUAAGAGCUAGAGUUAGGUUUAGGGUUAGGAGCUAGGGUUAAGUUUAGUGUUAAGAGCUAGGGUUAGGAUUAGGGUUAAGAGCUAUGUAUAGGUUUAGGGUUAGGAGCUAGGGUUCGGUUUAGGGUUAGGAGCUAGGAUUCGUUUUAGGGUUAGG
ensembl:lncRNA